rnacentral:rRNA from 1 species
UUGACGGGGCCCGCACAAGCGGAGGAACAUGUGGUUUAAUUCGAUGAUACGCGAGGAACCUUACCUGGGCUUAAAUGUAGAGUGCAUGAUGUGGAAACAUGUCUUCCCUUCGGGGCUCUCUGCAAGGUGCUGCAUGGUUGUCGUCAGCUCGUGCCGUGAGGUGUCGGGUUAAGUCCCAUAACGAGCGCAACCCUUAUCGUUAGUUGCCAGCGGGUAAUGCCGGGAACUCUAACGAAACUGCCGGUGUAAACCGAGAGGAAGGUGGGAUGACGUCAAAUCAGCACGGCCCUUAUGUCCAGGGCUACACACGUGUUACAAUGGCCGGUACAGAGGGCAGCUACCUGGAGACAGGAUGCGAAUCUCGAAAGCCGGUCUCAGUUCGGAUUGGAGUCUGCAACUCGACUCCAUGAAGUUGGAAUCGCUAGUAAUCGCGGAUCAGCAUGCCGCGGUGAAUACGUUCCCGGGCCUU